rnacentral:lncRNA from 1 species
UUACACCGCCCAUUAUAUAAAAUACAUAUUUACAUAAGUUUGCAACCCACAUUUACUGUCUACGGAGCCUCUAAGGAUACAGAAGGAUGAUACAAUACUUGACGGUAACAAGGCUCCGGCUAUACCUUUCACAACAAAGAUAAAACAAUAUUUCCAAAUUAAAAAGUAGCAUGAGCCACGCAAAGGCCAGAGAGGAAAGGGGCUCACCAAUACAUCUGAUGAAAAGUGGAGGGAAGCUACGGUCCGUGGACUGGAGUAUCUGCUAUUGAUCCACCUACAUUCGUAAC